rnacentral:rRNA from 1 species
CUAGCUGGAGGCUUAAUACAUGCAAGUCGAGCGGGAUUGGUAGCAAUACCAUGAGAGCGGCGCACGGGUGAGUAACGCGUACACGACCUACCUCUGACAGGGGGAUAGCCCUGGGAAACUGGGAUUAAUACCGCAUAUUAUUCUGAUUAAUAAAGGAUUGGAAUGAAAGUUCAGGCGGUCAGAGAUGGGUGUGCGUCUGAUUAGCUAGUUGGUAGGGUAAUGGCCUACCAAGGCGAUGAUCAGUAGGGGGCGUGAGAGCGUGAUCCCCCACACGGGUACUGAGACACGGACCCGACUCCUACGGGAGGCAGCAGUAAGGAAUAUUGGACAAUGGCCGCAAGGCUGAUCCAGCCAUCCAGCGUGCAGGAAGAAGGCCCUAUGGGUUGUAAACUGCUUUUAUCAGGGAAGAAACCUCUGGAUUUACUCCGGAGCUGACGGUACCUGAAGAAUAAGCACCGGCUAACUCCGUGCCAGCAGCCGCGGUAAUACGGAGGGUGCGAGCGUUAUCCGGAAUUACUGGGUUUAAAGGGUGCGUAGGCGGCUAUGUAAGUCAGGAGUGAAAGUUUGCGGCUCAACCGUAAAAUUGCUUUUGAUACUGCAUAGCUGGAAUUAGGAUGAGGUCAGCGGAAUGUGGCAUGUAGCGGUGAAAUGCAUAGAUAUGCCAUAGAACACCAAUUGCGAAGGCAGCUGACUAGACCUGGAUUGACGCUGAGGCACGAAAGCGUGGGGAGCGAACAGGAUUAGAUACCCUGGUA